UACGCUAAGGUUCACAUCGGUUUUAGUGGGGAACAGCCACUAAAAUAAUGGGGAAAGUUUGGUGCAAGUCCAACACUGUCCCGCAGCUGUAAGCAGACUAUCUCUGUAAGUCAGAACGCCCACCGAUGUCCCCCGUAAACA
rnacentral:ncRNA from 2 species